CUUAAAUUGAAGAGUUUGAUCAUGGCUCAGAUUGAACGCUGGCGGCAGGCCUAACACAUGCAAGUCGAGCGGUAGCACAGGAGAGCUUGCUUUCUGGGUGACGAGCGGCGGACGGGUGAGUAAUGUCUGGGAAACUGCCUGAUGGCGGGGGAUAACUACUGGAAACGGUAGCUAAUACCGCAUAAUGUCUUCGGACCAAAGAGGGGGAC
rnacentral:rRNA from 1 species